rnacentral:rRNA from 1 species
AUUGAACGCUGGCGGCAGGCUUAACACAUGCAAGUCGAGCGGGGAAAGGUAGCUUGCUACCUGACCUAGCGGCGGACGGGUGAGUAAUGCUUAGGAAUCUGCCUAUUAGUGGGGGACAACAUUCCGAAAGGAAUGCUAAUACCGCAUACGCCCUACGGGGGAAAGCAGGGGAUCUUCGGACCUUGCGCUAAUAGAUGAGCCUAGGUCGGAUUAGCUAGUUGGGGGGGUAAAGGCCUACCAAGGCGACGAUCUGUAGCGGGUCGGAGAGGAUGAUCCGGCACACUGGGACUGAGACACGGCCCAGACUCCUACGGGAGGCAGCAGUGGGGAAUAUUGGACAAUGGGCGAAAGCCUGAACCAGCCAUGCCGCGUGUGUGAAGAAGGCCUUUUGGUUGUAAAGCACUUUAAGCGAGGAGGAGGCUACUUGGAUUAAUACUCUAGGAUAGUGGACGUUACUCGCAGAAUAAGCACCGGCUAACUCUGUGCCUGCCGCCGCAGUAACAC